UGAAAUAUAUUCGCUCAAACACGAAACAAUUCAUUUUUAUAUAAAGACAAAAAAUCUCGACCUGCAGCCUCCGUCUUGUUCAAAUCCCUAAUUAAGCUUUGCUUUUCCGAUUCCUUCUGUUAGCGUCAAAAUGGCGGAUUCUCCUGGCAAAAGGAAUUCACGAUCUCUUUCCCCUUGGAGAGAACAAUCAAGGUCUAGGUCAAGAUCCAGGUCAAGGGCAAGGUCCAGGUCCAGAUCUAGAUCUUUAUCCCGGCCAAGGCAUAGAUCACGGUCCCGAAGUCGUGGAAGGUAUUGUAACUUUAACAUUCUAUUUUUUUUGUUCGUACAAGUAGCGUUGCUUCUCUUUAUUUUAGUACUUUUGUUGUAUUCAACAUAUUUUUUUUGGUUCUGUACAUGGAUGGUGAUGCUCCUCUUCAGAUCAAGAUCCAGAAGUCGUGGCAGACCUGAUGCCAUAAAUCCUGGAAACACACUGUAUGUCACUGGUCUAUCUACAAGGGUCACAGAAAGGGACUUAGAAGAACAUUUCUCUAAGGAGGGAAAGGUUGCUUCAUGCUUUCUUGUUGUGGAGCCCCGCACACGCAUUUCUCGUGGUUUUGCUUUUGUUACGAUGGACAACGUUGAGGCUGCAAACCGUUGUGUUAAGCAUCUCAACCAAUCAGUUCUAGAGGGCAGAUAUAUAACAGUAGAGAAGAAGAUAUUGCGUCAGCUAUGUUGGCAGCAAUCAAAGAUGAUCAGUUCAUCCAUGUCAACUGUCAACUUAGUGAAACAGCUUGAUCAAUCGCCAGCUUAAACAGCUUUCAAAUGUUUGUGAUCAACUAAACAUAUCAACUAUUUUGUUCAACAACUAUACUACCUCAGCAUUCAAUUUCAACUCUCAACUAAUCAACGGAUAUUACCAACAGCAUUCAAUUUCUACUCUCAACUAAUCAAGGACAUUACCAACAACUUUCUAAUCAGGCUUAUGGUAUUUCAUAAUACCUGGCACUUAGUUAAUGAACACUGGUCACCUAUGCCCGGUUGUUUUCUUCAUUUUCUUUGUCACGGAGAAAGCGGGCAAGAACUCCAACACCUGGACACUAUCUGGGACUGAAAAGUAAUAGAGAUUAUGGUUACCGAGGCGAUCGUGGGAGGUACCGUGAUCGUGGCCGUGAUGAGUAUCGUAGGUCUCCAAGGCGCUCUCCUUAUCGUGGGGGUCAUGAUUAUUCUCCUAGGCACUCACCCUAUGCUGGAAGAUCAAGGAGGGAUAGGUCUAGAUCUCCCUACUCUCCACCUUAUCAUGGCUCUAGGUGAGGCUAUGGUGUAAUCAUGUAAUGCUUAUGGACUUGAGCAGAUGAUUUUGUUUGUUUGUAAGGCUAGGUAAUUACUAAUUGUUUGUGUCGUGUGUUGCUACUGAACUGUGGUUUAACAGUUUAUGAAACCGUGACAAACUUGCUUUGAGUGAAUGGGUUAUUUGUGUUUUCCUUGCAU